AUGAACGCUGGCGGCGUGCCUAAUACAUGCAAGUCGAGCGAACAGACGAGGAGCUUGCUCCUUUGACGUUAGCGGCGGACGGGUGAGUAACACGUGGGUAACCUACCUAUAAGACUGGGAUAACUUCGGGAAACCGGAGCUAAUACCGGAUAAUAUUUCGAACCGCAUGGUUCGAUAGUGAAAGAUGGCUUUGCUAUCACUUAUAGAUGGACCUGCGCCGUAUUAGCUAGUUGGUAAGGUAACGGCUUACCAAGGCAACGAUACGUAGCCGACCUGAGAGGGUGAUCGGCCACACUGGAACUGAGACACGGUCCAGACUCCUACGGGAGGCAGCAGUAGGGAAUCUUCCGCAAAGGGCGAAAGCCUGACGGAGCAACGCCGCGUGAGUGAUGAAGGUCUUCGGAUCGUAAAACUCUGUUAUUAGGGAAGAACAAACGUGUAAGUAACUGUGCACGUCUUGACGGUACCUAAUCAGAAAGCCACGGCUAACUACGUG
rnacentral:rRNA from 1 species